GCCCUGAUCAAACUCACAAAUGUAAGGUUUAUUGCUGAAGUAAAAUGAGGAAACUGAGGCAAGGCAAAUGAGAAGCUAAUUUAUUGAACUCCUUUGCGAGGUUCUGUGGUCCAGGAAGGGGCCAAAGAAGUCAUGCCCAGCUGUUUAGGGCAUGGGGUUUUAUGGGGAGGGAAGGCAAUUGAUUGGCCAUUGGGGAAACAAAGGGUAGGCAAUUUCAUUGGCUGUUAAGAGGCAAGAAGUGUCUGGAGCUAGCUGUCAUUGGCCAGUCUGCCUCAUAUGCAUGAGUCCUCAAGAAUCACACAGUCAAAGGAAUUAGAUUUUUGGCCCUUCAGAGAACGAAAGAUGUUUUACAGCUUUGGAAAAAAGGCCUGUCUGUUCUAUCCCGAGCCAUACACAUCCUCCUAUUAUGCUUUCACUUCUCUGGAGUUUACCCAAAGUUCAGAGCAGCCUUGCUGCUGAUCCCCCGGUGCGGGGGCGGAUGACUCCGGCUCCCUACAUGUAUGUAUCUAAAUAUAUCUAAACAUAGUAAGGGUACCAUAAAAAUGCAGUAUAAAAGUUUAAAAAUGCCACACCUGUAUAGGGUCCUUACCAUGAAUGAAGCUUCAAGAGUGCAAGUUGUUUUGGGUGAGUCAGUGAUGAGUGGUGAGUGAAUAUGAAGGCCUGGGAGGUUAUUGUACACUACUGAG
rnacentral:lncRNA from 13 species